GAAAAAAAAUUUUGUUGAAUGGAGAUGAAAAGUUACAUGAGUGACAGAAGGGAAAAGAAUUACGAAAUGAAAAUUACAGAAGUGACAGUAGGGAAAUAAUAUGUUCUAUUUUAAAGCAUCAAUAUUUAAGAGCGAAGAAAAUUACAGAAGUGAUGUGAGUUUUAAAUUUUUUCCUCUUUCCAAAAAUGCCUCUAUCCUUUUUUACUAAUAUUUUUAUGUCUAUAAAUUUUCAGCCAAUUAUUUUAAAUAAUUAACUAAGUAAUAAUUUAUUCCCAAAUAAAAAUAAAUAUUUUUCUUAUAUCCGCACCGCCAAUAAUUUUAAAUAAUUCGUAAUCAAAUAUUCAUAUUUGAGUUUGACACGUGGCAAGCAUAUAGAAAGCCACGUGUCAGCUUCUCACAUAGGGUUCAUUAAGGGUUCUACUUUUAUAUAUAGUAAUAGAUAUGAAGUAAAAAUUAUAUCUAUACUACUUAUAAAUUCCUUCGCAAAGAAUAAUUUCAAAGCAACCGCCAAUCAUUUCGUAAAAUAAAAUCGUAUCUUACAUUUUGAUCAGAAAAAACUAACUCUAUAAAAAAAAAAAUAAAGCAAAUGUAUGUUAAAUUUGAAAAUGAAAUCGUAUCUUACAUUUUGAUCAGAAAGAACUAACUCUAAACUAUUCACCAUCUCUGGGCGAUAAAAUUCAGGCAUAGUAUACAGACAAAUCACUCUAAUUUUGAUCUUCUAUUUGUCUCCAAGAGGAGUGAUGUCACGUAUUGAAUCAUAUCCAAGUGCCAUAUUCUAAAAAAAAUAAGACAUCCAAUAAAAAAAAUUAAUAUAUCAUAUUUAAAUAAUAAAAUAAAAAAAUAUAUGUUCUCUUUUAAGGCAUCAACAUUUAAGAAUUAAGAAAAUUACAGGAGUGACAGUAGACAAUAAUUUUAAAUAAUUAAUUAUUUGCCAAUACAAAAUUUGAGUUUGACCAUUUUUUUCGCAACUAACUAUUUCAAAUAAUUUGCAACAGAUUAUUGCUUAUUUCGCAACCAAUAAUUUUAAAUAAUUAAUUAUCUGCCAAUACGAAAUUUGAGUUUGACUAUUAUCUGUCAAUACGAAAGCAUAUAGAAAGCCACGUGUCAGCUUUUGUGACAAUAUUACCCUCGCAUUUAUAUCCUAUUUUCUAUCUUUUCUAAAAUAAAAUAUCUAUAUUUGAACUUGACACGUAGAUUAUUUUCCCUAAAGCAGUAAUAUCCGCACCCACCAAUUCUUUCGCGUGAAUUUCUUAAAUAUCUCAACAUAAUUAUAGGUGACUUUGAAAUAAAAUUAUUGAGUUUGCAACAGAUUAUUUCCACCGCGAAAAAAUAAUUCCCAACAGAUUAUUGCGUAUUUCGCAACCAAUAAUUUUAAAUAAUUAAUUAAACUAAUAAUUUUAAAUAAUUCGUAAUCAAAUAUUCAUAUUUGAGUUUGACACGUGGCAAGCAUAUAGAAAGCCACGUGUCAGCUUCUCACAUAGGGUUCAUUAAGGGUUCUACUUUUAUAUAUAGUAAUAGAUAACAAAAAAUUUCUAAUUAAUUUUAUAUUUUUUAACAAAUAAAAAAAUACACUAUCAAUCUUAAUUAUAGUACAUAUUAAAGUACACAAGCUAGAGAAAAAGAAUAUGGACCAAAGUAAAUAUUCAACUAAAAUGCAAAAUUCAAUCCUACUCUAUUAUCUAUGAAUUGGUAUGCAAAACAAUUUAUAUUUACAUAUUGAUGUGCGAAAUAAAAUGAUAACUAAUAUUGAUAUGAAAAAUUACAAAUGACAUUAAUAUUUAAGUAUAUAAUGAGAUCAACUAAACUUUCAUAUUUGACACAAAUUAGAGUAAGCACACAUAUAUUAUGUUCCUACUGUCGCUUUUAAGAUUCAAAAAUAUAUAGAUGUUGGUUUUCAAGAAAAUAUAAAGAAAAAAAAUUUUGUUGAAUGGAGAUGAAAAGUUACAUGAGUGACAGAAGGGAAAAGAAUUACGAAAUGAAAAUUACAGAAGUGACAGUAGGGAAAUAAUAUGUUCUAUUUUAAAGCAUCAAUAUUUAAGAGCGAAGAAAAUUACAGAAGUGAUGUGAGUUUUAAAUUUUUUCCUCUUUCCAAAAAUGCCUCUAUCCUUUUUUACUAAUAUUUUUAUGUCUAUAAAUUUUCAGCCAAUUAUUUUAAAUAAUUAACUAAGUAAUAAUUUAUUCCCAAAUAAAAAUAAAUAUUUUUCUUAUAUCCGCACCGCCAAUAAUUUUAAAUAAUUCGUAAUCAAAUAUUCAUAUUUGAGUUUGACACGUGGCAAGUAUAUAGAAAGCCACGUGUCAGCUUCUCACAUAUGGUUCAUUAAGGGUUCUACUUUUAUAUAUAGUAAUAGAUACCAUAAAAGAUUAAAAUCUUAACUAAAAAGUUAUAACUAAGUUUAUAUUUUACAAUUUGAUUUAAAAAUACUUAAUAAUGAUUAAUCACCAUUUAAUUUUUUCUAUUUAUUUUUUUCUUAACUCUUCAUUAUUUAAUUCAUUUUAAUUUUGAUAGAAUAA
rnacentral:lncRNA from 1 species